UCUACCCUGCGCGUGCGCACUGGCUCUGGGGUGCCUAGCUUCACUCCUGGUGCCACCCGAUGGCGCCCUGGCCUAUGAGGUCCAAAUGCAGCAGUCUCCCGAGCCCAGAGUGGCCAAUUGGUUUACAAACUUCGGCUACAUCAACAAGUACUUGGAGAAGUUCUUCACCAGCAGGUGGUGAGAUGGCCAUCUAUUCCUCCCUAUCCACGCAGCACGGACAACAAAGAGAAAUAGUGGACCUGACGAGAUGGCUCAGGGGGUAAAGGCACUUGUCGCAAAGCCUGUCGGCCAGAGUUCCAUUCCCGAGCUCAUAAGAUGGAAGAAAGGACACCUGUACCAUGGCUCACAUAUACACACACGUCAUACAAACCACAACAGCAAAGGAAUG
rnacentral:lncRNA from 1 species